rnacentral:misc_RNA from 1 species
GAGGAGACUAGUUGGGAACACGAGUUGAGUCUGUGGCAGCACGAGGAUCUACUGAAACGCUACCAGCGUGAGGCAAUGAGGGCAUUGCCGGAUUGAGUGGGGGAGGAUGUCACCCCAUUUUUGUUGCUCCCCGAAGGUCCAAUAUUUUCUGUUUGUUGAGACCCAAUUGUGUGCAUGAAUUCUGCUAAUGAAGGGGACGUCAACUCAACUGCAUGAGAAUGUCCCACGUGAAGCUUGGCAUUUAUACUUGGGACUUGAGAUAGUGGGCCGCACCAUCAGACCUGGUUGGUCAUCACAUGGGCCGGUAGGGCUUCAAGGCACACGGGCGUCUCGUGAAGUGCCCAGUGGGACUGAUUGUGCGUGGUGCAUGUGGAGCGCACUAAAGCAGGCUGCACAUGGGGCGGUGACCAAGGGCUGCGUGCAUGGAGCUUCAGCCAUGCAUCCAAGAGACUUGGAGAGGGACAACCUGCCUUGUGAAUUGGGAUAUAUAGUUUUGAUCGCAAACCUAAUUUUAUUUAGGCUUCAUAUGUGUAAUAAUAUGCUAUGACAAUCUCACGCAUCAAUUAGAAUUCAUCACCAAUUUUACAAGGAAGAAGCCAAAAAUCCCAUAGUUGGAUAUCUCUUGGCACAAAUGAAUAGACCCACAGGAAUGAAUUAAUAUCAUUAUCUGAUUGCUUAGAUGCAAGUCACACCUUUACAAUUCGGGUUAAGGCAGAGGCACGAUAUGAUCAGCUUUACAAAAAUUAUUGAGCCAUAUGCAAUUGUAAAUACUAAAUAUUAUAUCAUGAUGUUGUUACAUACAUUGAAUUAAUUUUGCUUAAAAAAAUUGAUAUAUUAAAGUAAUUUUCGCCAACAACCUAUCUCAUUAAUAUCAUUAUCUGAUUGCUUAGAUGCAAGUCACACCUUUACAAUUCGGGUUAAGGCAGAGGCACGAUAUGAUCAGCUUUACAAAAAUUAUUGAGCCAUAUGCAAUUGUAAAUACUAAAUAUUAUAUCAUGAUGUUGUUACAUACAUUGAAUUAAUUUUGCUUAAAAAAAUUGAUAUAUUAAAGUAAUUUUCGCCAACAACCUAUCUC